UGCAUGGUGGAGCAGUUGGUAGCACUGUUGCCUUUUAAUGCAAAGGUCCUGGGUACGACACCCAGCCGGGUGUCUUUCUGCAU